AACGCCCGGGUUUCCGGCAAAUAUUCACCCUUCCGACACCGAACGGGAGGCCGCCCCCCUCCCGGCCGGCACCCCUCUCGCAGGCGGGCCGGGGUCCGUCCCCGCGGCCGGCAGCGCUCCUGGCGGCACCGGCCCCCAACUCUCCAUGCUUACAUAACAGCUCUCAAGAGGAAGCUGCUAACAAGCCCACCUGAUCGUUUGUGCCAGCUGUUGUAGUGGAGGCAUGCUGGAUGCAACUGAGCUCCACCUUCUCUGUUGAGUGUUUCUCCAUGAUGUGCUUGAUAAAAGAAGUGAGAUAUAUGGAAAAAAAAUGGACUUUUUUGUGAAGAAAA